rnacentral:rRNA from 1 species
UACAGAGGUCUCAAGCGUUGUUCGGAUUCGUUGGGCGUAAAGGGUGCGUAGGCGGCGGGGCAAGUCGGAUGUGAAAUCUCAGGGCUCAACCCUGAAACUGCAUUCGAUACUGCCUUGCUUGAGGACUGGAGAGGAGAUUGGAAUUCACGGUGUAGCAGUGAAAUGCGUAGAUAUCGUGAGGAAGACCAGUGGCGAAGGCGGAUCUCUGGACAGUUCCUGACGCUGAGGCACGAAGGCCAGGGGAGCAAACGGG